GACUAACGCUGGCGGCGUGCCUAAUGCAUGCAAGUCGAGCGCAUCUCGCUUCGGCGGGGUGAGCGGCGGACGGGUGAGUAACGCGUAGCUAACCUGCCCUGGUCUGGGGGAUACCCAGCAGAAAUGCUGGUCAAUCCCGCGUACGCUCGGCUCGAUGAGGGUCGAGGAAAGCCGCAAGGCGGACUAGGAGGGGGCUGCGUCCCAUCAGCUUGACGGCGGGGUAAGGCCCACCGUGGCGGUGACGGGUCGCUGGUCUGAGAGGAUGAUCAGCCCACACGGGGACUGGGAGACGGCCCCGACUCCUACGGGAGGCAGCAGCAAGGGAUUUUCCGCAAUGGCCGAAAGGCUGACGGAGCGACGCCGCGUGGGGAUGACCUCCUUCGGGACGUAAACCCCUUUUCGAGAGGGAGAGGACGGACGGUACUCUCGGAAUAACGCCCCGGCUAACUACGUGCCAGCCGCCGCUGUAAU
rnacentral:rRNA from 1 species